UACGUAGGGUGCAAGCGUUAAUCGGAAUUACUGGGCGUAAAGCGUGCGCAGGCGGUGAUGUAAGACAGUUGUGAAAUCCCCGGGCUCAACCUGGGAACUGCAUCUGUGACUGCAUCGCUGGAGUGCGGCAGAGGGGGAUGGAAUUCCGCGUGUAGCAGUGAAAUGCGUAGAUAUGCGGAGGAACACCGAUGGCGAAGGCAAUCCCCUGGGCCUGCACUGACGCUGAGGAGCGAAAGCGUGGGGAGCGAACAGG
rnacentral:rRNA from 1 species